rnacentral:misc_RNA from 1 species
AAUCCGAGAAUUUCACCUCCAACAACUAAAUACUAAUGCCCCCAACUGUCCCUAUCAAUCAUUACUUCAGCCAAGCGAAACCAACGAAACAAGACCGAAGUCGUAUUCCAUUAUCCCAUGCUAACGUAUUCGGAGGCGAGUUACGCCUGCUUUGAACACUCUAAUUUCCUCAAAGUAAACGAUCCUAGCGGUUGAUUCCCCGCCCUCGCGGACGAGGACCGUUAGGAACAUAGGAGGCCAGCAACCCGCUCCCCGAAGGGGCGGAUUGCUAAGGACCUUCCGAAAUCCAACUACGAGCUUUUUAACUGCAACAACUUUAAUAUACGCUAUUGGAGCUGGAAUUACCGC